AUUGAACGCUGGCGGCAGGCCUAACACAUGCAAGUCGAGCGGUAACAGGACUAGCUUGCUAGUUGCUGACGAGCGGCGGACGGGUGCGUAACACGUAGGAAUCUGCCCGGUAGUGGGGGAUAGCCCGGAGAAAUCCGGAUUAAUACCGCAUACGCCCUAAGGGGGAAAGAUGGCCUCUUCUUGAAAGCUAUCACUAUCGGAUGAGCCUGCGUCGGAUUAGCUAGUUGGUGAGGUAAAGGCUUACCAAGGCGACGAUCCGUAGCUGGUCUGAGAGGAUGAUCAGCCACACUGGGACUGAGACCACGGGCCCAGACUCCUACGGGAGGCAGCAGUGGGGAAUAUUGCACAAUGGGCGCAAGCCUGAUGCAGCCAUGCCGCGUGUGUGAGAAGGCUCUAGGGUUGU
rnacentral:rRNA from 1 species